AUCUGUGUGACCCCAGUUCCCGGUACAUCUGUCCUGUCAUGCUGAUGUCACGUUGGACUGUGAUCUAGAACCUGCAGCUGUUUCUCUCUGUUCAUGACAGGAUUUGAUGCUGGGGGUUGAUAAAAAUUGAACUCCACAUUACAAUCUUAGGACAAAAUAACUGACUCUGCUGCUUUUUUGAUUACAGACUGUGCUGGACUUGUGGCUGGAAAUGGUCUCCUCUACAUUCUCACUGCCAUAUCAGGCUUUUAUCACCCUGGAGAAACAUCUGAGAUACCGAAGGUUCAUAAGACUCUGUACAUGGUUGGAGCUGCAGGUCUCCCGUGUGUGAAUUCAGUCACGCUGGGAGCAGAGUUCAUCAUGAGAAUAAGUAAAAUCUGCUGUUUUUUUCUAUCAUAUUUCUAACUGGUUUUGUUUGACUGUCCAGCAUGUGAAGUCCAUGAUUUGUAUUUCAGCUACGGGAGAGAGGAUGAUUGCAGAUCU
ensembl:lncRNA